AUUUCACGAGUUUUGGUCUCUCAUCUUCAUCUUCAACCCCAAUUUUCAGUUUUUGUUCUUCCACCUCAAUUUUUGUUCAACCUCAUCAUUCUAAGCUUCGUUGGAGGGCUCGCCUGGGCCACCGAAUCGAAGAUCAUGAACGACCGUGAGACGGGAGGUCCAGGGGCUUCGGCUUCGUCACCUUGAACAACGAGAAUGCCAUGAAGGAUUCGAUCGAAGGCAUGAACGGCUAGAACCUCGACGGCCGUAACAUCACCGUCAACGAGGCCUAGUCUUGUGGAAGCGUUAGGCAUUUUCUGAUGCGUCUCAACUUCAACUCCCUCUUUGAGGUAUUUAUCAGCUUUAAUUUCACGAUCCUUCUUGGACAUUGGCUCUUUAUCAAGGAUACUGGACAGCAUAAUGAAACUUUGCCUACAGUUUUGCUGGAACAUUGAGAACCAGGAAAGCAAUGGAAAUACAUAUGAAUUGGAACACUUUGUAGAGGUAAACAUCAUUGGUUUGCGAAAA